GACGAACGCUGGCGGCGUGCUUAACACAUGCAGGUCGAACGGUAAGGCCCUUCGGGGUACACGAGUGGCGAACGGGUGAGUAACACGUGGGUGAUCUGCCCUGCACUUCGGGAUAAGCCUGGGAAACUGGGUCUAAUACCGGAUAGGACCACUGCCUGCAUGGGUGGUGGUGGAAAGCUUUUGCGGUGUGGGAUGGGCCCGCGGCCUAUCAGCUUGUUGGUGGGGUGAUGGCCUACCAAGGCGACGACGGGUAGCCGGCCUGAGAGGGUGACCGGCCACACUGGGACUGCGAUACGGCCCAGACUCCUACGGGAGGCAGCAGUGGGGAAUAUUGCACAAUGGGCGCAAGCCUGAUGCAGUGACGCCGCGUGAGGGAUGACGGCCUUCGGGUUGCAAACCUCUUUCAGCACCGACGAAGCGCAAGUGACGGUAGGUGCAGAAGAAGGACCGGCCAACUACGUGCCAGCCGCCGCAGUAA
rnacentral:rRNA from 1 species